AGAGUUUGAUCAUGGCUCAGAAUCAACGCUGGCGGCGCGCUUAACACAUGCAAGUCGAACGAGAAAGGGGAGCAAUCCCUGAGUACAGUGGCGUACGGGUGAGUAACACGUGGAUAAUCUACCUCCUAGUGGGGAAUAACCCUGGGAAACCGGGGCUAAUACCGCAUGAUCUCGAGAGAGGAAAGCAGCAAUGCGCUGGGAGAGGAGUCCGCGGCCGAUUAGCUAGUUGGCAGGGUAAAAGCCUACCAAGGCAACGAUCGGUAGCCGGCCUGAGAGGGCACACGGCCACACUGGCACUGAAACACGGGCCAGACUCCUACGGGAGGCAGCAGUGGGGAAUCUUGCACAAUGGGGGCAACCCUGAUGCAGCGACGCCGCGUGAGCGAUGAAGCCCUUCGGGGUGUAAAGCUCUUUCGGCAGGGAAGAUAGUGACGGUACCUGCAGAAGCAGCUGCGGCUAACUACGUGCCAGCAGCCGCGGUAAUACGUAGGCAGCGAGCGUUGUUCGGAGUUACUGGGCGUAAAGGGUGUGUAGGCGGUUGUUUAAGUUUGGUGUGAAAUCUCCCGGCUCAACUGGGAGGGUGCGCCGAAUACUGAAUGACUAGAGUGUGGGAGAGGAAAGUGGAAUUCCUGGUGUAGCGGUGAAAUGCGUAGAUAUCAGGAGGAACACCGGUGGUGUAGACGGCUUUCUGGACCAUAACUGACGCUGAGACACGAAAGCGUGGGUAGCAAACAGGAUUAGAUACCCUAGUAGUCC
rnacentral:rRNA from 1 species